rnacentral:rRNA from 1 species
UACGUAGGGUGCAAGCGUUGUCCGGAAUCAUUGGGCGUAAAGAGCUCGUAGGCGGUUUGUCGCGUCGGCUGUGAAAACCCGAGGCUCAACUUCGGGCUUGCAGUCGAUACGGGCAGACUUGAGUUCGGCAGGGGAGACUGGAAUUCCUGGUGUAGCGGUGAAAUGCGCAGAUAUCAGGAGGAACACCGGUGGCGAAGGCGGGUCUCUGGGCCGAUACUGACGCUGAGGAGCGAAAGCGUGGGGAGCGAAC